rnacentral:rRNA from 1 species
AUUGAACGCUGGCGGCAGGCCUAACACAUGCAAGUCGAGCGGAUGAAGGGAGCUUGCUCCUGGAUUCAGCGGCGGACGGGUGAGUAAUGCCUAGGAAUCUGCCUGGUAGUGGGGGAUAACGUCCGGAAACGGGCGCUAAUACCGCAAACGUCCUGAGGGAGAAAGUGGGGGAUCUUCGGACCUCACGCUAUCAGAUGAGCCUAGGUCGGAUUAGCUAGUUGGUGGGGUAAAGGCCUACCAAGGCGACGAUCCGUAACUGGUCUGAGAGGAUGAUCAGUCACACUGGAACUGAGACACGGUCCAGACUCCUACGGGAGGCAGCAGUGGGGAAUAUUGGACAAUGGGCGAAAGCCUGAUCCAGCCAUGCCGCGUGUGUGAAGAAGGUCUUCGGAUUGUAAAGCACUUUAAGUUGGGAGGAAGGGCAGUAAGUUAAUACCCUGCUGUUUUGACGUUACCAACAGAAUAAGCACCGGCUAACUUCGUG